GCUCAUUAGACGUUUUUGCGACGAGUCCAAAAAUUGUUGCGCAUUGUUGAUAAUAUCGAAGAUUAUUUUAGUCAAUUGAAUGAACAUUAAAACAUUGAUAAGAAUGGAUAAAAUCGUUUGCAUUUGUUUUGUUGCCAUUGCAAUUGUUUCAAGUACAAGUGCAAAAAUUACAAGUGAAAAUAUUAAUUGUACAUAUAUUCCCAUGACCCGUUUUCGUAUUUGUGGUUCCGAUGGUAAAACUUACAAUAAUAAGUUCCGUUUGUGGUGCGAACAAAAGACAGAGUAUGGGAGAAGUGUAAACUUACAAAUAAAACAUCCAUUUCCUUGUUGGAUAUGGGAAGAAUACGGCAUCGACACCUCUACACUUUUAUUUACUCUACUGGGUUUUGUUAUUCUUGGUGUGUGCUUGUGCAUUUGUAGAAAGAAGCGAAGCAUUUGGAAAAAAGAAAAACCAUUUUUGAUAACUGAGCCUGCAUAAUAAUCGGAUGAAAAUGUAUUGAUUCACAAAUUAAAUCUCAAUAAACAAAAAUUUUGAUUUCGAUAUUACCAUU